rnacentral:rRNA from 1 species
AAACUUUCAGCAACGGAUCUCUUGGUUCUGGCAUCGAUGAAGAACGCAGCGAAAUGCGAUAAGUAAUGUGAAUUGCAGAAUUCAGUGAAUCAUCGAAUCUUUGAACGCACAUUGCGCCCGCCAGUAUUCUGGCGGGCAUGCCUGUCCGAGCGUCAUUU